rnacentral:rRNA from 1 species
UACGUAGGGUGCGAGCGUUGUCCGGAUUUAUUGGGCGUAAAGAGCUCGUAGGCGGUUUGUCGCGUCGGCCGUGAAAUCUCCACGCUUAACGUGGAGCGUGCGGUCGAUACGGGCAGACUUGAGUUCGGUAGGGGAGACUGGAAUUCCUGGUGUAGCGGUGAAAUGCGCAGAUAUCAGGAGGAACACCGGUGGCGAAGGCGGGGUCUCUGGGGCCGAUACUGACGCUGAGGAGCGAAAGCGUGGGGGAGCGAACAGGA